rnacentral:lncRNA from 1 species
GCAUUGCCCCAUGGUGGGAUCCUGCAGAGAUGCAGUCCGCACCUGGCUGAUGAACGCUGGUGCCUUUGGCUGGCCCUGGAGAGCUUUGGCUGGAAGGAAGUUAAAAACCAUUAAGGCAGAAGCCUGGUCCUUCGGUCCACGUGAGCAACGUAGCAGCUAGGCCAAACCAGCUUCCAAAAAAGCGCACCUCACAACCUCUCCCAGGGCGGGAGAGCUACCACGCACAGCUCGUUGCUACCAGCACAGCAGCACGGCAGAAGUUCACACCCAGAAUGGGCACGGAACUACCUGCAGAAAGCUUUCAACAUCCCCUUUCACACGGGGCAGCUCAGAGCCCGUCAGCAGCAGGCGCCGAGCUGGGGAAGGGAAGCCACCCC